rnacentral:tRNA from 1 species
GAUAUCUUAGUUAAGUGGAAAGAAUACUUAAUUAUCAAUUAAGGAAGUGCCAGUUCGAAUCUGGUAGAUCUCG